UUUCUAUUAGGUGUGUAUAUAUAGUCUCAAAAUUACAUGUAUUUGUAAUGGCGAGUAAUAUUUAUACUAUCCUGUAGGAAAACUCGGGGCGACCGCUGUAAUAUUUCUCUUUAAAACAGAGGAAGAUUGCGGCAAUAACAGGUCUGUGAUGCCCUCAGAUGUCCCGGGCCGCACACGUGCUACAUUGAUUAGCGCAGUGCGCAUACUUUCAAUAUGAUACAUUAGAUUGGAUUGUUCUGUUGAGCUCCAUCUAAUACUAUCCGGCUUGAGAAGGCUGGGUAAUCAAUUGUAAGUGCUGGUUCCUCCUCCCGUUGAGCAUUUUAAUAAUGGCCUCUCUACAUCCCUAGCAAUAUGCCUAGUGCGAUUGUAGUUGAGCCUUGCCAUUUAUGCAAGUGUCAAUUCUCAGUGGGGACAGACAUUUGAUAAUUCUUUGUCUCGUUCUUAACUAGGAAUGCCUUGUACGGGUCUUGGUUCAACAGACCACCCGGAAUACGUCCCUGCCCUUUGUAMACACCGCCCGUCGCUCUUACCGAUGAAUUUCCCUG
rnacentral:rRNA from 1 species